CAAAAUUAACCGUCCGAAUGCCGGGGCGCCAAGUUCGUCCAGCGGAAAAAGGCCACAAAAACGGGUGGGUUAUAGCCUUGGGGGGUGGGGCUGGCCAACUUCGUCCACCGGACUCGGAAUGCCGCGAGACUUAGCGAGGGGCCUUCAUGUGCCAAAAAUAGGCCACGGGCAAAGCCGCGCCCAAAAAUAACCGCCCCAAGGCCGGGGCGCCAAGUUCGUCCAGCGGAAAAAGGCCACAAAAACGGGUGGGCUAUAGCCUUGGGGGGUGGGGCUGGCCAACUUCGUCCGCCGGACUGGGAAUGCCGCGAGACUUUGCGAGGGGCCUUCGUGUGCCAAAAAUAGGCCGCGGUCAAAGCCACGCCCAAAAUUGACCGCCCGAAGGCCGGGACGGCAAGUUCGUCCAGCGGAAAAACGCCACAAAAACGGGCGGGCUAUAGCCUUGCGGGGUGAUGCUGGCCAACUUCGUCCGCCGGACUCGGAAUGCCGCGAGACUUUGCGAGGGGCCUCCGUGUGCCAAAAAUAGGCUGCGGGUAAUGCCAAGCCCAAAAAUAACCACCCGACAGCCAGGGUGCCAAGUUCGUCUAGCGGAAAAAGUCCACAAAAACGGGUGGGCUAUAGCCUUGGGGGGUGAUGCUGGCCAACUUCGUCCGCCGGACUCGGAAUGCCGCGAGACUUUGCGAGGGGCCUCCGUGUGCCAAAAAUAGGCCGCGGGCAAAGCCGUACCAAAAAAUAACCACCCGAAGGCCGGGGCGCCAAGUUCGUCCAGCGGAAAAAGGCCACAAAAACGGGUGGGCUAUAGCCUUGGGGGGUGGGGCUGGCCAACUUCGUCCGCCGGACUCGGAAUGCCGCGAGACUUUGCGAGGGGCCUCCGUGUGCCAAAAAUAGGCCGCCGGCAAAACCGCGCCCAAAAAUAACGGCCCGAAGGCCGGGGCGCCAAGUUCGUCCUGCGGAAAAAGGCCACAAAAACGGGUGGGCUAUAGCCUUGGGGGGUGGGGCUGGCCAACUUCGUCCGCCGGACUCGGAAUGCCGCGAGACUUUGCCAGGGGCCUCCGUAUGCCAAAAAUAGGCCGCGGACAAAGCCGCGCCCAAAAUUAACCGCCCGAAGGCCGGGGCGCCAAAUUCGUCCAGUGGAAAAAGGCCACAAAAACGGGUGGGCUAUAGCCUUGGGGGGUGAUGCUGGCCAAGUUCGUCCGCCGGACUCGGAAUGCCGCGAGACUUUGCGAGGGGCCUCCGUGUUCCAAAAAUAGGCCGUGGGAUGUUUAAAAGGUUUGUGGUUCAAAAUUUUAUGUUAUCUAGUGAUAAAAUUUUGUAGUGCAUUUUAUAGAUAGGUAGCAGCAGCAAGUUCCGGGGCGCCAAUUUCGUCCAGCGGAAAAAGGGCACAAAAAUAGGUGGGCUAUAGCCUUGGGGGGGUGAUGCUGGACAACUUCGUCCGCCGGACUCGGAAUGCCACGAGACUUUGCGAGGGGCCUCCGUGUGCCAAAAAUAUGCCGCGGGCAAAGCCGCACCCAAAAAUACCCGCCCGAAG
rnacentral:lncRNA from 1 species